rnacentral:lncRNA from 1 species
AAUAUAUGAUCUCUUUUGACCUCAGGAUGCCUUUAGAAGGUACAUGCUAGUAGUCAGAGAGAACAGAGGAAGAGUUCCUAGAGCGAGUGAACAGGAAGCUGGCUCAGACCAGCCCCAAGAAAGACCUGUUGACCACAAAGCCCUGCCACUGUGAGGAAAUCCUGAAACUAGUGCUCUCACCACUCACCCAGCACUGCUUGGUUGUUGGAGAAACCAACUGUGCAUUUUAUUACCUGCUGGAGGCUGCUGCUGCCUCCUUGGACCUGUCAGAUAAUUACAUGGUGAGCAAGCUCAGCUCUCUGCUCUUGAACUGAGCCUUUUUACUUUGGGAAUUUGAUUGAGAGUGCUUCCUGUCAAGUAGGAAUAGAAAGUGGAAGAAAAUGGGAGAGAGAGAAGCUGGAGGGAUUUAGGAGAAGACAUGAAAUGGGAAUGUGGUGAGAGAGAGCACUGACCCACACUGGCCCUGCCCUUGACUUGCACAGCAGGCUGGGCCCUCACUCUACCUCAAAAUCCCAAACCUGAUUUCAAAUUCAGAUCUUGACCCUCAUCCUAACCUUAUCCAGCAUCAUCCUAACCUUACCCCCAGCACCAUCCUAAUCCUAAUCCAGUUUCUUCAUCCUUUGUUUGAAGGCUUUCUUUUAUUUAAGGAAGGCAAGCAGUCUUCUAGGCCAACCCUCAGCAUUCUCGUUCUUGAAAAAGCACAAAGUGAAGAUUUGUCAGUUUGAGGAGGCCACUUUCUGCAGGCUUCGGUCAGAGGUGAGGAUGAGCAUAACCUUGAA